ACGGCCCUCGUGAACAAUCCCACCUGCGAGUGUACCCACUCGGUCUCCAGUGUGAACCUGAGAGCGCCCAGA
rfam:Trypanosoma vivax Y486, WGS project CAEX01000000 data, contig: 2197